UACAGAGGUCUCAAGCGUUGUUCGGAUUCAUUGGGCGUAAAGGGUGCGUAGGCGGCGCGGUAAGUCGGGUGUGAAAUCUCGGGGCUUAAACUCCGAAACUGCAUUCGAUACUGCCGUGCUUGAGGACUGGAGAGGAGACUGGAAUUUACGGUGUAGCGGUGAAAUGCGUAGAUAUCGUAAGGAAGACCAGUGGCGAAGGCGGGUCUCUGGACAGUUCCUGACGCUGAGGCACGAAGGCCAGGGGGAGCAAACGGGG
rnacentral:rRNA from 1 species